rnacentral:rRNA from 1 species
AUUGAACGCUGGCGGCAUGCCUUACACAUGCAAGUCGAACGGUAACAGGUCUUCGGAUGCUGACGAGUGGCGAACGGGUGAGUAAUACAUCGGAACGUGCCCGAUCGUGGGGGAUAACGAGGCGAAAGCUUUGCUAAUACCGCAUACGAUCUACGGAUGAAAGCGGGGGAUCUUCGGACCUCGCGCGGACGGAGCGGCCGAUGGCAGAUUAGGUAGUUGGUGGGAUAAAAGCUUACCAAGCCGACGAUCUGUAGCUGGUCUGAGAGGAUGAUCAGCCACACUGGGACUGAGACACGGCCCAGACUCCUACGGGAGGCAGCAGUGGGGAAUUUUGGACAAAGGGCGAAAGCCUGAUCCAGCCAUGCCGCGUGCAGGAUGAAGGCCUUCGGGUUGUAAACUGCUUUUGUACGGAACGAAAAGCCUCUUGCUAAUAAAGAGGGGUCAUGACGGUACCGUAAGAAUAAGCACCGGCUAACUACGUG